CUUUCUUGGUGGUGCUCGCACCACAAGACGCACGUAAAUCCUCAGACCUGAGGACACUUCUGGACCGGGGGGCGGUACCCCGCGGCUCCACCAUAUGCUCACUUCCUGCUAGGGGACGCCCUUUCAGGGCCUUGGCGGAUACCCGGUUGAUCGCCGGAGAAAGCGGUUCGAAACCGUUGUGAGCAUUUGAUGGGGCCGAAAUAGGAUCGACAGGGUGGAUAGGGAAAGCGGCGUGCCGGUGAGAAACACCGUUAUCGUUCAAACUUUACAACUGCAAACACCAACGCAGCUCCGAUGGAGAUGGCAAUCGCUGCCUAAGCUCUGCUUAGUCAGUCUUGUCUGAACUCAUCAUGGCGCUUCCCGGCGAGCGUAGCAACAGAAUCGUCGGACCUAAUUCAAAUUCCUCGGU
rnacentral:tmRNA from 1 species